rnacentral:tRNA from 3 species
AAACUUAGGAUAUGUUUAAACCCGAGGCCUUCAAAGCCCCAAAAAAGAG